rnacentral:rRNA from 1 species
AUGAAAAUAAAUAUUUUUGGUUUAGCAGUUAAAUGUAACAUCUCCUUUAAAUUUAAAAUUUUUAGGUGAAAUUUUAAUUUUAUAAAAACAGGAUUUAAUUGAAACUGUGAAAUUUAAUUUUAAAACAAGGAUUAGAUACCCUUUUAUUUUAAAUCUAAAUAUCAUAAACCCGGGUAGUAAUAGUUAUGUUCUUGAAACCCAAAGAAUUUGGCGGUAUUUUAUUCUUUUUAGAGGAACCUGUCCUAUAAUUGAUAAUCCACGAUAGGGAGUUACUUAUUUUUGUAUUCAUUUUGUAUACCUCCGUCAUCAGAGUAUCUUUUUAGAGAUAAUAUUCUUAAUAUAAUAAAUAUAAUAUGUCAGGUCAAGGUGCAAUUUAUAAAUAAGUAGAGAUGGGUUACAAUAAAUUUAUUUACACGGAUUAUUAUUAUUAUUAAUCAUAUGAAGGUGGAUUUAAAAGUAAAAUUAUUUCCUUUAUUAAUUUGAUUUUAGCUCUAAAAUGUGCACACAUCGCCCGUCGCUCUUAUUUUAAAAUAAGAUAAGUCGUAACAUAGUAGGUGUACCGGAAGGUGUACCUAGAUUGGAA